CUCCCAGAACCAUGGAGUGGGACCAGGAUGACCCUGGUAAACCAGCCACAGAAUUUUCAGUUCUCACAACAGAAGCCAGGUGGCAUCUGUAUAACCUGGACUUUGCAGGGCCUGGUGAUGAUCAAGUCUCAGCAUUUCCAAUUAAUCUUGGAAUGAGAGCCCAAGGCAAAAAGCCACUGGUGCCUGAGGAAUGCUAAAGAGCAAGCUGAUCCAGGGAAACAAAUGCCAGCAAGGGACCCCACAGCAAAGAGACAGACACUGUGAGCAACUCUCCUGUUACCAUGAGGCUUGCGAGGCGUGUGCGCGGGUCUCCGCACUGGCACCAUCUGCCAAUUCCUCAGGAGGACAGAACAAACCAGCGAGGCAUGAAGAUUAGAUUAUGUAACGCUCGAGGAUUGCUGUUUGCAAAGAGGAAACAAAUGGAACGAAUUGAUUUGCUUGUCAGAGUCAUGUCACUAAAGGAGACCCGUUCCCUCCUCUUCCAAGAGGACCUCGUUAAAGAGGGGAAUGAUUUCACAGACUCAGAAAAUGUGAGACCACAAUCGACUCCAUUCAUAAGAGCAAGUCUAAUUUCCAGAGAUGCACUGAUAAAUCCUAGUCUGGUCCCCUUGCCUGAAAAAUGACUGUUCAGCUCCUACCUAAAAGGUACCAACAUGGCAAGAAACAUUAACUGCCAGUUGUCAGCCACAGGAUUCAGAACCUGGGUCUUUGCCUGAACUGAACUCUCUUGCUUCUCGGGAAGCAGCAUCUAAUUUUGAGACCUGUGGGGUCAUGUUUACUAUUCAGAGCUCUAAACAAGUGUUUUGAUAGAGUGAGGAUGUAUUCUUAAAAAUACACGCCUCAGGAAGGAGAGCUCAUUGCAUUUCUGAGAUUCUUUUGCCAUUGCUGAGCUUCUCUCAAAAUGCCCAGCACAAUACUUUUUAUAAUAUGUUCAGUUGGUCUGAAGAAUGAACAAAUGAUAACCGCGAACCUACUGCCAUAGAGCCAUUCCUAAAGGUUUCACUGUCUAAGAUACUAAGAUUUAUAUAAGUCUUUAUUCAACAUGGAAAUGAAGCCUACUGUACCAGAUAUUUUCCAUUUGCCCCUGCUGAUCCGCUUUUCCAUCCAUCCUGCUCUUUGCCCUGGGGUGCUGACCCAUAUGGACUACAUCAUCGACUCACUCCUUUGCCCUCUAGUUUCCAUCUGGGUACAGCCAAUGGGAAGCAGCAGCCGAAGAUUGGAGGGCAGAGGGAGAGUGAGGCUGAAGUACUUAUUCCCCCAGUUCCCUCCCUGCCCCACAACGCCUGAGGUUGGUUUUGUCUUUUGAUAAAAGGUCACUGCUCCUUCUCAAGGCAGCUCUCUCCACACAACUCUCUUUCUGGGUUCUGUAUCUUCUCCCUCCCUUCACUUUCAGAUCUAGGAAUGGUAAAGAUCCCAGCUAUUACUAGCCCCCUGGGUACCACACUAUCCCUCUGGUUUCCCUACACCCUACCCAAACCUUCGUAAAUAGUCCCUUUAUUAAACGCUCCUCUAAUUAUCUAAUUUGAGUGUGCCAUCUGUUUUUUAUACAGACCCUGACGGAUACACCUACCACGUGUCAGUCUGUUCCAGGCCAUGCACCACAGUUUAAAAAAAAAGGGUAGCAAAAGUAAUAUUACAAUACACUACUACUUUAUAGUUAUUCUCAAUGUUCACCUUUUCACAAGGCUAUAAUAACAACUUAAAGAUAAAACCUAAUUCCUCUUUACAACAUAAUUGUGCAGUAGAGUUUGUAUGAGCUAAAUAUAAUUCAGAGAACAAGCUUUUUCAUGCCAUCAAAAUUCAUGCUAACAGCUACAAAGAAAGAACUGCAGAACUGAUGCCCCUGACUUGAGAUUUAGCAGAAAACAAAUUCCAGUAUUUAAAUCAAUCACACAAAUAUUCAAAAGCCUACCAUGUGGCCAGUGAGGAACAACACAGACGUGGACUCUGACUUUGUGAAACUUCGUCUUAUUUUAUGCAAUAUAUGUGCUCCUAACAAGCUGAAUACAAGCUGUAUUUCCAUAAA